GGUGGUUCUCAGGUGACACACCCUGGAAUCAGGCUCCCUCCUCUCUGGUUCCAGGUGCGUCACCCGAGAACCACA
rfam:Myotis lucifugus cont2.7845, whole genome shotgun sequence.